rnacentral:rRNA from 1 species
GGAGAGUUUGAUCCUGGCUCAGGAUUAACGCUGGCGGCGUGCCUAAUACAUGCAAGUCGAGCGAAUGGAUUAAGAGCUUGCUCUUAUGAAGUUAGCGGCGGACGGGUGAGUAACACGUGGGUAACCUGCCCAUAAGACUGGGAUAACUCCGGGAAACCGGGGCUAAUACCGGAUAACAUUUUGAAUCGCAUGGUUCGAAAUUGAAAGGCGGCUUCGGCUGUCACUUAUGGAUGGACCCGCGUCGCAUUAGCUAGUUGGUGAGGUAACGGCUCACCAAGGCAACGAUGCGUAGCCGACCUGAGAGGGUGAUCGGCCACACUGGGACUGAGACACGGCCCAGACUCCUACGGGAGGCAGCAGUAGGGAAUCUUCCGCAAUGGACGAAAGUCUGACGGAGCAACGCCGCGUGAGUGAUGAAGGCUUUCGGGUCGUAAAACUCUGUUGUUAGGGAAGAACAAGUGCU